rnacentral:rRNA from 1 species
AGUGAACGCUGGCGGUAGGCCUAACACAUGCAAGUCGAACGGCAGCACAGUAAGAGCUUGCUCUUACGGGUGGCGAGUGGCGGACGGGUGAGGAAUACAUCGGAAUCUACUUUUUCGUGGGGGCUAACGUAGGGAAACUUACGCUAAUACCGCAUACGACCUACGGGUGAAAUCAUGGGAUCUUCGGACCUUGCGCGAUUGAAUGAGCCGAUGUCGGAUUAGCUAGUUGGCGGGGUAAAGGCCCACCAAGGCGACGAUCCGUAGCUGGUCUGAGAGGAUGAUCAGCCACACUGGAACUGAGACACGGUCCAGACUCCUACGGGAGGCAGCAGUGGGGAAUAUUGGACAAUGGGCGCAAGCCUGAUCCAGCCAUACCGCGUGGGUGAAGAAGGCCUUCGGGUUGUAAAGCCCUUUUGUUGGGAAAGAAAAGCAGUAGGUUAAUACCCCGCUGUUCUGACGGUACCCAAAGAAUAAGCACCGGCUAACUUCGUG